UGAAAGGAAAGAACGACCACAAACAAAGAAAUUAAAGCUGUUUAAGAAAAAAUCGGCCUCCGAAAAUUGAAGAAGCAUUUUCCGGUCAGCAUAUGAAAAUCAGCGUGUUCAACUGAGGACAUAAAACAGAGUGACUCUGCUAACCUGAUUUAAUUCUUCUGAAAAUCGGAGGGAACGCUGAAAGGCAAGGUGUUCUGUCGAGGUCUAGUGAGAUAUAAAUGGCUUCCACAAAGAAAAAUGCUGCAUUUCUGGUUUUUCUCGCUGUUUUCGCUUUACUAACAAGUGAGACAUCAAGCCAUUUGAGGGUGGGGAAAAAAGCGUUCGUACCGUUACAGAACGAACUUGAAGAAUUGUUUAAAAACCGAAGAAAAAUCAGCUUUGCAGAAAACAGGAGAAAAUUUAAUCAAAGAGACAACUGGAGGCUCGGAACAGAGGAACUGCGAGAGUUUUAUAGAGAGUAAGGCCAUCGGAUAACCGAGAUGCCAUGGUAAAGCAUGCGUAAUCAAGUCAAAGAACAAGAUUAUUUAGAUGUAAUAAGCAUAUUGUAGUUAGUUAAAAAAAAAUACCUGAAUACUUUCCAGCUAAAGACAUUUUCGAACAGUAGCAACCAAUUAGUUGUUCAAAUGCUUUUCAAUAUUCUUCUAGUCUGCAAUUCUACAUUUUAAACUGUAAUGUAACGACAAUGUGAUUUAUAAAAACCUUCAAACUUUA